UACGAAGGGUGCAAGCGUUACUCGGAAUUACUGGGCGUAAAGCGUGCGUAGGUGGUUUGUUAAGUCUGAUGUGAAAGCCCUGGGCUCAACCUGGGAAUUGCAUUGGAUACUGGCAGGCUAGAGUGCGGUAGAGGGUAGUGGAAUUCCCGGUGUAGCAGUGAAAUGCGUAGAGAUCGGGAGGAACACCAGUGGCGAAGGCGAUCAUCUGGGGUUGUUCUGACGCUGAGGAGCGAAAGCUAGGGGAGCAAACGGG
rnacentral:rRNA from 1 species